rnacentral:rRNA from 1 species
UACGUAGGGGGCAAGCGUUGUCCGGAAUCAUUGGGCGUAAAGAGCGUGUAGGCGGCCCGAUAAGUCCGCUGUGAAAGUCCAGGGCUCAACCCCUGGGAUGCCGGUGGAUACUGUCGGGCUCGAGUCCGGAAGAGGAGUGUGGAAUUCCUGGUGUAGCGGUGAAAUGCGCAGAUAUCAGGAGGAACACCAAUGGCGAAGGCAGCACUCUGGGACGUGACUGACGCUGAGACGCGAAAAGCGUGGGGGAGCAAACAGG